rnacentral:rRNA from 1 species
CAGUCGCCACGGUAAUACCGAGGAUGCAAGCGUUAUCCGGAAUGAUUGGGCGUAAAGCGUCUGUAGGUGGCUUUUCAAGUCCGCCGUCAAAUCCCAGGGCUCAACCCUGGACAGGCGGUGGAAACUACCAAGCUAGAGUACGGUAGGGGCAGAGGGAAUUUCCGGUGGAGCGGUGAAAUGCGUUGAGAUCGAAAAGAACACCAACGACGAAAGCACUCUGCUGGGUCGACACUGACACUGAGAGACGAAAGCUAGGGGAGCAAAUGGGAUUAGAUACCCCCGUAGUCCCUGUCUCUUAUAC